UACUGCAGCCAUAUCACCAUGCAACCCAAAACUGGUUGCCCACUGAAGCUAAGCAGGGUUGAGCCUGGUCAGUACCUGGAUGGGAGACCUCCUGGGAAAACUAGGUUGCUGCUGGAU
rnacentral:rRNA from 1 species